rnacentral:rRNA from 1 species
UUCGGGAGCAGAGUGACAGGUGGUGCAUGGUUGUCGUCAGCUCGUGUCGUGAGAUGUUGGGUUAAGUCCCGCAACGAGCGCAACCCUUGAUCUUAGUUGCCAUCAUUAAGUUGGGCACUCUAAGGUGACUGCCGGUGACAAACCGGAGGAAGGUGGGGAUGACGUCAAAUCAUCAUGCCCCUUAUGACCUGGGCUACACACGUGCUACAAUGGACGGUACAAAGAGCUGCAAGACCGCGAGGUGGAGCUAAUCUCAUAAAACCGUUCUCAGUUCGGAUUGUAGGCUGCAACUCGCCUACAUGAAGCUGGAAUCGCUAGUAAUCGCGGAUCAGCAUGCCGCGGUGAAUACGUUCCCGGGCCUUGUACACACCGCCCGUCACACCACGAGAGUUUGUAACACCC